ACGUAGGAGGCGAGCGUUAUCCGGAUUUAUUGGGUUUAAAGGGUGCGCAGGCGGGAGAUUAAGUCGGCGGUGAAAUUUUGCAGCUCAACUGUAAAAGUGCCUCCGAAACUGGUUUCCUUGAGUGUAUAUGAAGUAGGCGGAAUUUGUAGUGUAGCGGUGAAAUGCAUAGAUAUUACAAGGAACUCCGAUUGCGAAGGCAGCUUACUAAAAUACAACUGACGCUCAGGCACGAAGGCGUGGGUAUCAAACAGGAUUAGAUACCCCGGUAGUCCCUGA
rnacentral:rRNA from 1 species